UUCCAUCUGGAAGAAUACUGGAGACAGGUGCUGCAUGGCUGUCGUCAGCUCGUGUCGUGAGAUGUUCGGGUUAAGUCCCGCAACGAGCGCAACCCUUGCCUUUAGUUGCCAGCAGUUCGGCUGGGCACUCUAAAGGGACUGCCGGUGGUUAAACCGGAGGAAGGUGGGGAUGACGUCAAGUCCUCAUGGCCUUUAUGACCAGGGCUACACACGUACUACAAUGGCCGAUACAAAGGGCAGCGACACUGCGAGGUGAAGCCAAUCCCGUAAAAUCGGUCUCAGUCCGGAUUGGAGUCUGCAACUCGACUCCAUGAAGUUGGAAUCGCUAGUAAUCGUGGAUCAGCAUGCCACGGUGAAUACGUUCCCGGGCCUU
rnacentral:rRNA from 1 species